rnacentral:misc_RNA from 1 species
ACGACAUCCGGUAGCUGGCGGCGGAGGAAUCGGGGUUCAGUACCAGCGAGUUCGAUAAGGAGCUCGAGUGCCUCCUGUGCAGUCGCCUCCUGGCCGUGGUUGAGGGAUUCAGUGAGGGUCUGCAUCAUGACGGGGAGGAGAUCCUGGAAUUUCUCACGGUCAGCGGCCGACGGGAGGCACUGGACGAGAUUGACAGAGGCGGACAAGGCGGCGACGCGGACAUCAGCUGAUGUCGGGUGGGAGAGGGCGGCGAGGAGGA